AUUGAACGCUGGCGGCAGGCCUAACACAUGCAAGUCGAGCGGCAGCGGGAAAGUAGCUUGCUACUUUUGCCGGCGAGCGGCGGACGGGUGAGUAAUGCCUGGGGAUCUGCCCAGUCGAGGGGGAUAACUACUGGAAACGGUAGCUAAUACCGCAUACGCCCUACGGGGGAAAGCAGGGGACCUUCGGGCCUUGCGCGAUUGGAUGAACCCAGGUGGGAUUAGCUAGUUGGUGAGGUAAUGGCUAAACAAGGCGACGAUCCCUAGCUGGUCUGAGAGGAUGCACAGCCACACUGGAACUGAGACACGGUCCAGACUCCUACGGGAGGCAGCAGUGGGGAAUAUUGCACAAUGGGGGAUACCCUGAUGCAGCCAUGCCGCGUGUGUGAAGAAGGCCUUCGGGUUGUAAAGCACUUUCAGCGAGGAGGAAAGGUUGGUAGCUAAUAACUGCCAGCUGUGACGUUACUCGCAGAAGAAGCACCGGCUAACUCCGUGCCAGCCGCCGCCGUAAUAC
rnacentral:rRNA from 1 species